rnacentral:rRNA from 1 species
UACGGGGGGAGCAAGCGUUGUUCGGAUUUACUGGGCGUAAAGGGCGCGUAGGCGGCCACCGCAAGUCGACUGUGAAAUCUCCGGGCUUAACUCGGAAAGGUCAGCCGAUACUGCGGGGCUAGAGUGCAGAAGGGGCAACUGGAAUUCUCGGUGUAGCGGUGAAAUGCGUAGAUAUCGAGAGGAACACCUGCGGCGAAGGCGGGUUGCUGGGCUGAUACUGACGCUGAGGCACGAAAGCGUGGGGAGCAAACAGG